GUAGGGUGCAAGCGUUAAUCGGAAUUACUGGGCGUAAAGCGUGCGCAGGCGGUUAUGCAAGACAGAUGUGAAAUCCCCGGGCUCAACCUGGGAACUGCAUCCGAAACUGCCUUGCUAGAGUAUGGGAGAGGGAAGCGGAAUUUCCGGUGUAGCAGUGAAAUGCGUAGAUAUUAGGAAGAACACCGGUGGCGAAGGCGGCCCACUGGUCCGGUACUGACGCUGAGGCGCGAAAGCUAGGGGAGCAAACAGGAUUAGAUACCCUGGUAGUCCACGCCGUAAACGAUGGGCACUAGGUGUAGGAGGUAUUGACCCCUUCUGUGCCGAAGCUAACGCAUUAAGUGCCCCGCCUGGGGAGUACGGCCGCAAGGUUA
rnacentral:rRNA from 1 species